UGCAGUCGAGCGGAUGACGGGAGCUUGCUCCUUGAUUCAGCGGCGGACGGGUGAGUAAUGCCUAGGAAUCUGCCUGGUAGUGGGGGACAACGUUUCGAAAGGAACGCUAAUACCGCAUACGUCCUACGGGAGAAAGCAGGGGACCUUCGGGCCUUGCGCUAUCAGAUGAGCCUAGGUCGGAUUAGCUAGUUGGUGGGGUAAUGGCUCACCAAGGCGACGAUCCGUAACUGGUCUGAGAGGAUGAUCAGUCACACUGGAACUGAGACACGGUCCAGACUCCUACGGGAGGCAGCAGUGGGGAAUAUUGGACAAUGGGCGAAAGCCUGAUCCAGCCAUGCCGCGUGUGUGAAGAAGGUCUUCGGAUUGUAAAGCACUUUAAGUUGGGAGGAAGGGCAUUAACCUAAUACGUUAGUGUUUUGACGUUACCGACAGAAUAAGCACCGGCUAACUCUGUGCCAGCAGCCGCGGUAAUACAGAGGGUGCAAGCGUUAAUCGGAAUUACUGGGCGUAAAGCGCGCGUAGGUGGUUUGUUAAGUUGGAUGUGAAAGCCCCGGGCUCAACCUGGGAACUGCAUCCAAAACUGGCAAGCUAGAGUACAGUAGAGGGUGGUGGAAUUUCCUGUGUAGCGGUGAAAUGCGUAGAUAUAGGAAGGAACACCAGUGGCGAAGGCGACCACCUGGACUGAUACUGACACUGAGGUGCGAAAGCGUGGGGAGCAAACAGGAUUAGAUACCCUGGUAGUCCACGCCGUAAACGAUGUCAACUAGCCGUUGGAAUCCUUGAGAUUUUAGUGGCGCAGCUAACGCAUUAAGUUGACCGCCUGGGGAGUACGGCCGCAAGGUUAAAACUCAAAUGAAUUGACGGGGGCCCGCACAAGCGGUGGAGCAUG
rnacentral:rRNA from 1 species